GCGGAUGUGGCGUAAUGGUAGCCGCGCCAGAUUUAGGAUCUGGUGGCCUUCGGCCGUGGGGGUUCGAGUCCCUUCAUCCGCA
rnacentral:tRNA from 1 species